rnacentral:rRNA from 1 species
UACGUAGAGUGCAAGCGUUGUCCGAAAUUAUUGGGCGUAAAGGGUACGCAGGCGGAUAGUAAAGUCAAGCGUGAAAGGUGUCGGCUUAACCGACAGACUGCGUUUGAAACUGAUUAUCUUGAGUGUAACAGAGGAGAGUGGAAUUCCUAGUGUAGCGGUGAAAUACGUAGAUAUUAGGAAGAACACCAGUGGCGAAGGCGACUCUCUGGGUUAACACUGACGCUGAGGUACGAAAGCUGGGGGAUAAACGGG